rnacentral:rRNA from 1 species
UAAUACGGAGGAUCCGAGCGUUAUCCGGAUUUAUUGGGUUUAAAGGGUGCGUAGGCGGGCUUAUAAGUCAGCGGUGAAAGUUUGCGGCUCAACCGUAAAAUUGCCGUUGAUACUGUGAGUCUUGAGUGUAGAUGAGGUGGGUGGAAUUCGUGGUGUAGCGGUGAAAUGCAUAGAUAUCACGAAGAACUCCAAUUGCGUAGGCAGCUCACUGGGCUACAACUGACGCUGAGGCACGAAGGUGCGGGGAUCAAACAGG